AUUUUUUCCUGGCAGGGGAGAUACUGUGAUGGGAAAGGUGGUGUUCCCAGGGCAAAGCUUACCCACUGCACCCUAGUUGUGCUAACCCUUCUAAUUUCACCGAUUGUGGGGAAAUCGACAGCAUAAUUUGUGGUAGUGGGGGGCAGCCUUCAUGCUCCCCGCU